AGGAAUAUUGGUCAAUGGACGAGAGUCUGAACCAGCCAAGUAGCGUGCAGGAAGACGGCCCUAUGGGUUGUAAACUGCUUUUAUAAGGGAAUAAAGUGAGUCUCGUGAGACUUUUUGCAUGUACCUUAUGAAUAAGGACCGGCUAAUUCCGUGCCAGCAGCCGCGGUAAUACGGAAGGUCCGGGCGUUAUCCGGAUUUAUUGGGUUUAAAGGGAGCGUAGGCCGGAGAUUAAGCGUGUUGUGAAAUGUAGAUGCUCAACAUCUGAACUGCAGCGCGAACUGGUUUCCUUGAGUACGCACAAAGUGGGCGGAAUUCGUGGUGUAGCGGUGAAAUGCUUAGAUAUCACGAAGAACUCCGAUUGCGAAGGCAGCUCACUGGAGCGCAACUGACGCUGAAGCUCGAAAGUGCGGGUAUCGAACAGGAUUAGAUACCCUGGUAGUCCGCACGGUAAACGAUGGAUGCCCGCUGUUGGUCUGAAUAGGUCAGCGGCCAAGCGAAAGCAUUAAGCAUCCCACCUGGGGAGUACGCCGGCAACGGUGAAACUCAAAGGAAUUGACGGGGGCCCGCACAAGCGGAGGAACAUGUGGUUUAAUUCGAUGAUACGCGAGGAACCUUACCCGGGCUUGAAUUGCAGAGGAAGGAUUUGGAGACAAUGACGCCCUUCGGGGUCUCUGUGAAGGUGCUGCAUGGUUGUCGUCAGCUCGUGCCGUGAGGUGUCGGCUUAAGUGCCAUAACGAGCGCAACCCCUCUCCUUAGUUGCCAUCAGGUUAAGCUGGGCACUCUGGGGACACUGCCACCGUAAGGUGUGAGGAAGGUGGGGAUGACGUCAAAUCAGCACGGCCCUUACGUCCGGGGCUACACACGUGUUACAAUGGCAGGUACAGAGAGACGGUCCCUUGCAAAAUGGAUCAAAUCCUUAAAGCCUGUCUCAGUUCGGACUGGGGUCUGCAACCCGACCCCACGAAGCUGGAUUCGCUAGUAAUCGCGCAUCAGCCAUGGCGCGGUGAAUACGUUCCCG
rnacentral:rRNA from 1 species